GGAGGCCGGCUGGCGGACGGACCGCUUGCCAAUCCGGUCAGGUCCGGAAGGAAGCAGCCGUAACGAGUUUGUGCCCGGGUCGUUUGUCCGGUCUCUCAC
rnacentral:SRP_RNA from 1 species